AUGCAGUCUGCUUCCUGACGGAUAAGUGGAAUUGACCACGUGGAGGCAGAUGAAUGUAUGCGCCGACCGUCUGGGCAAAAUCG
rnacentral:ncRNA from 2 species